GCCUACGACCAUCUCACCCUGAAUGCGCCCGAUCUCGUCUGAUCGCCGAAGCUAAGCAGAGUCGAGCCUGGUUAGUACUUGGAUGGGAGACUGCCUCGGAAUACCAGGUGUUGUAGGCU
ensembl:rRNA 5S_rRNA 5S ribosomal RNA